UGGGGAAUUUUGGACAAUGGGCGCAAGCCUGAUCCAGCCAUGCCGCGUGAGUGAAGAAGGCCUUCGGGUUGUAAAGCUCUUUCGGCCGGGAAGAAAUGGAGGGCUCUAACAUAGCCUGUCGAUGACGGUACCGUAAGAAGAAGCACCGGCUAACUACGUGCCAGCAGCCGCGGAAAUACGUAGGGUGCGAGCGUUAAUCGGAAUUACUGGGCGGAAAGCUAGCGCAGGCGGUUUUGUAAGACAGAUGUGAAAUCCCCGGGCUUAACCUGGGAACUGCGGUGGUGACUGCAAGGCUGGAGUACGGCAGAGGGGGGUGGAAUGCCACGUGUAGCAGUGAAAUGCGUAGAGAUGUGGAGGAACACCGAUGGCGAAGGCAGCCCCCGGGGCCUGUACUGACGCUCAUGCACGAAAGCGUGGGGAGCAAACA
rnacentral:rRNA from 1 species